AAACCAGAGCCCGCGGGGCGGGGCUCCCUUUAGGUCCCGCCUUCCGCUGCCUCUCCGCCUAUAGUCGGAGCCCGCCGCGAGGGUUGCGUGGAAGCUCGCCUUCCCCGGCCAAUGGGAAGACGAGAAGCCUCCAUGUUGGGUGUGGCUGAAAGAUUGGCAGGCGACUCCCCGCCCCUGCCCCGCCCCGCUGGGCGAAGAACGCGGACUUGCGGGGCCGCCGGCUGCGGACUGGAGCUGCGCGGGUCAGGGAGAUAAUGGCUGCGCGGCCGAUCACCCUCGGCAUUGACCUGGGCACCACAUCUGUGAAGGCCGCUCUGCUGAGGGCCGCGCCCGACGACCCAUCUGGGUUCGAGGUGCUGGCGAGCUGUACCCGCGCUGCGCGGGCAGAGGCGGCGGUCGAGAGCGCGGUGGCCGGGACCCAGGGGCGGGAGCAGGAUGUGAGUAGAAUCCUCCAAGCCCUACACGAGUGCCUUGCUGCCCUUCCCAGGCCCCAGCUCCGGAGCGUCGUGGGCAUCGGGGUGUCGGGCCAGAUGCAUGGAGUCGUGUUUUGGAAGACAGGCCAAGGCUGUGAAUGGACAGAGGGAGGGAUUACCCCUGUGUUCGAGCCCAGAGCUGUUAGCCGCCUGGUCACGUGGCAGGAUGGCCGAUGUAGCAGCGAAUUCCUGGCCUCUCUGCCCCAGCCGAAGUCUCAUCUCAGUGUGGCCACGGGCUUCGGCUGCGCAACCAUCUUCUGGCUUUUGAAAUACCGCCCAGAGUUCCUGAAGUCCUAUGACGCAGCUGGUACCAUCCACGACUAUGUGGUUGCCAUGCUGUGUGGCUUGCCAAGACCCCUGAUGUCCGACCAGAAUGCUGCCAGCUGGGGCUAUUUCAACACGCAGAGCCAAAGCUGGAACGUGGAGAUACUGAGGAGCUCGGGUUUUCCUGUCCACCUGCUCCCAGACAUCGCCGAGCCUGGCAGUGUGGCAGGCAGAACUUCCCACAUGUGGUUUGAAAUCCCACAGGGGACGCAUGUGGGAGUGGCCUUGGGUGAUUUACAGGCCUCUGUCUAUUCCUGCAUGGCCCAGAGGACAGAUGCAGUUCUCAACAUCAGCACCUCGGUUCAGCUGGCAGCCUCCAUGCCUUCAGGAUUCCAGCCUGCACAGACUCCAGACCCUACGGCCCCAGUCGCCUACUUCCCAUACUUCGACAGGACCUACCUGGGGGUGGCCGCGUCACUCAAUGGUGGCAAUGUGCUGGCCACGUUCGUCCACAUGCUGGUUCAGUGGAUGGCAGAUCUAGGCCUGGAGGUUGAAGAAUCCACUGUGUAUUCACGCAUGAUCCAGGCAGCUGUGCGGCAGAGAGAUACCCACCUGACCAUCACCCCAACAGUGCUGGGGGAGAGGCACCUGCCAGACCAACUGGCCUCAGUAACCAGAAUCUCCUCCUCUGACCUCUCCCUGGGGCACGUGACCCGGGCUCUGUGCCGAGGCAUUGUUCAGAACCUGCACUCCAUGCUUCCGAUUCAGCAGCUCCAGGAGUGGGGCGUGGAGAGGGUGAUGGGCAGUGGGAGUGCGCUGUCCAGGAAUGAGGUGCUGAAGCAGGAGGUGCAGAGGGCUUUCCCGUUGCCCGUGUCCUUUGGGCAGGAUGUGGAUGCAGCUGUCGGGGCAGCUCUGGUCAUGCUCCGGAGACACCUCAACCAGAAGGAAUCUUAGACAGCAAACUCUUUUGCCAAACGACUGCUGUGAAUUUUACCUGAUUAACAUUCCUGACACCAUCUGUGGGUCAUCCUUUCCCUGGACCAUUCAGUGGACAGCUUUUAAGCAGUGCUUGUUGUGAGGUCCCAUCUCGGCCAAGAACUUACCUUCAGAACACACUCUAAUGAUGCAGCCAGGAGCUGUCAGCCAGAUCCCAAAUGAGUGCCUUCCGAAAUUGACCCACCUGGGAGCUAUUUACAAAUGUCCAUGUGGGAGAGAGAGAGCCUGAGAGCACAGUAGCCCAGACUUGUGGUCAGCAGGCUCAUCUGUGGUUCACCUGUAGACAGAGAGCAGAUCAAUGUGUACUUCAGACACCAGAAAGUCUGGUGGAUUUGGUCCCAAGUGGGAAAAGAGACCUGCCCCAUGCCCAGCUUUUGAUUAUUGUUUUUAGAGACCUGAAGCCCACACUCGGGUCAUAUGGACUUCUGGAAAAGUUCUUCUCUCCUGGACUGAAACAUGUGACCAGAGGCCCCUUUACUAGUCUCAUCCUUCCCUGGCCGCAGAUGCUUAGCUGGGGCACGGAUUGACCCAAGUGCGAUGCAGCAGGCUGGCUCAGAGGACGAUGCGGGGCUGUGUACCAGCCUUCUUGCUGCGUGUACUCAGCCUCAGGAGAGCUUGCUGCUCCCGGGCCGCCCAGGUCUUCACGGCACAACCGCCUGGAAGGCAGGUUGCAGAGAAGGAGAGGCGGAUGGCAUGAGCAGCAAGGGGGACCGAUGCCGUGCGUCUCACACCACUCCAGAACCUGACAAGGCACCAGCAGGACCCCUUGCUAGGAGCAUGUCUGUGCAGCCGUGUUUUUGCCCCUGCACGUCCCAGAAGCCCUCAUGGGAAGGGAUGCAGCCAGGCAGACUCCUGCCAGAUGGGGCAGGUAAUUUAUCCAAAGAGAACUCUGUAUCCCAUAGACCUAGGCUCUCCUUUUGCUUGGCGUGGGCUUUGCUGGCCCACUGUGUGUUCCUGGCUCAGCAGAAACAUCCAUUUGAGUCAGCAUCCCUGUAGGGAUCCCAGAGCGUCGUAAGCCUUCCUGUGAUUGGUAGGGAUGGCUGUGGGGUGGCUUCCACGAGGGGGCCGCCAUCGCCGCGUCUACUCCCAGACUCCCAAAGGAGCCCAGGCUCGAGCAGGCCUGGCCCAGAGGCACCCCGGAAACCAUGAGUUUGGGAAGCAGUCGUAUUCUCUCUCUCUCUCUCAGUAUCCACGACAGGGUGGUACGAAGGGAAGUGAGAAAAUAGGCACUGGUGGCCGGGCGCGGUGGCUCACACCUGGAAUCCCAGCGCUUUGGGAGGCCGAGGCAGGUGGAUGACGAGGUCAGGAGUUCAAGACCGGCCUGGCCAACAUGGCGAAACCCCGACUCUACUAAAAAUACAGCAAUUAGCUGGGCGCAAUGGCAGGUGCCUGCAAUUGCAGCUGUUUGGGAGGCUGAGGCAGGAGAAUCGCUUAAACCUGGGAGGCGGAGGUUGCAGUGAGCUGAGAUCGCGCCAUUGCACUCCAGCCUGGGCGACAGAGUGAGACUCCAUCUCAAGAAAAAAAAGGAAACAGACACUCAUAGUUAUCUGUGUUUUGUGGUUCCCUGAGGAACCCCCAGUUGAGAAGAAAGGCUGGGACCUGGCUGACCCAGAAGACUUUCUCGACGCAAACGCCUACUCCAGUUUUGGGGACCAGGAACGAGAGGCCUAGGAGAGUUGGGGACUAGUUCAAGGUUGCUCUGACUCUCAAAACAAGUCCCUAAUGCCAGGCCAGGACUGCGUGGCGAGCGGCACGACCCUCCAUUCCUUCUUUAUUUUGAAAACGGAACAGUUACAGGACGCUAGUUUUGAUGUCGCUGGCUGCGAAUGUGCAUUUGUGGAGCCGUUUCCCAGACCUCCGGGCUCAGGAGCCACAGGUUUGGGAGGCCGAGCAGCACCCUCCUUCCCUGAGAGCUGAGGUUGCAGCUCUGGCUGGCUCUGGUUGAGACUGAGCUAAAGUUAAUCUGCGGCGACGUUCUGGAUGUACUGGACAAACACCUCAUUCCAGCAGCUACCACUGGCAAGUCCAAGGUUUUCUAUUAUGAAAUGUAGGUUCUAUACUAACAAUUAACAAGUGUACUUCAAUACAUUUAAACAUUCUCAGGAAUAAUUGGCUUUGUUUCUUUUUUUUCUUAGGCAUUUAAUAUUAUUUUCCUUAUUAAAUAUAACCAAAAAUCCCACAGAAAUUAACAAGAGGAGGAGCCUCUAAAUAUCAACAAAAUUAUCACUUGAUAGACUAGAAUUAAACAAGCAAAUGAUUCUAAGAAAUGGCACAAGUGUAUUCAUCAUAAAAUAAAAUUUCUACAUGAAACAUUCA